UGGCUUUAACGGAAGGAGAAGAAAAAUAUUCAGUUCAUUGGGAAUUUCAGAAAGAGCCCAUCACUCUGCAUCUCUACUUCUCCAGACAGAGGAAGAUAAAUGCGAUGUUGCGAAAAUAAAACCAUGGAAGGCUGCAAGCACUCAGCUACAGUGCAGAUGACAACUGUAAAAAGUAUCUUCAGUAGAGAGCAAUAUAUGACCUUGGUCACAUAGGACAUGGUGAGA